AGCAGCCGCGGUAAUUCCAGCUCCAAUAGCGUAUAUUAAAGUUGUUGCAGUUAAAAAGCUCGUAGUUGAAUUUCGGGAUCAAUAUGUUGGUCGUGCCUCGGUACGUACUAGCUUAUUGGUUUCUCCUUUCUGAAGAACCAUGAUGUCAUUUAUUUGGUGUCGUGGGGAAUCAGGACUGUUACUUUGAAAAAUUAGAGUGUUUAAAGCAGGCUCACGCUUGAAUACAUUAGCAUGGAAUAAUGAAAUAGGACGUUUGAUUCUAUUUUGUUGGUUUCUAGGAUCGACGUAAUGAUUAAUAGGGAUAGUUGGGGGCAUUAGUAUUCAAUUGUCAGAGGUGAAAUUCUUGGAUUUAUUGAAGACUAACUACUGCGAAAGCAUUUGCCAAGGAUGUUUUCAUUAAUCAAGAACGAAAGUUAGGGGAUCGAAGACGAUCAGAUACCGUCGUAGUCUUAACCAUAAACUAUGCCGACUAGGGAUC
rnacentral:misc_RNA from 1 species